AACGAACGCUGGCGGCAGGCCUAACACAUGCAAGUCGAGCGAACCCUUUGGGGUUAGCGGCGGACGGGUUAGUAACGCGUGGGAAUAUACCCUUUGGUACGGAAUAGCCUCGGGAAACUGAGAGUAAUACCGUAUGUGCCCUUCGGGGGAAAGAUUAUCGCCAAAGGAUUAGCCCGCGUUGGAUUAGAUAGUUGGUGGGGUAAUGGCCUACCAAGUCUACGAUCCAUAGCUGGUUUGAGAGGAUGAUCAGCAACACUGGGACUGAGACACGGCCCAGACUCCUACGGGAGGCAGCAGUCGGGGAAUCUUAGACAAUGGGCGCAAGCCUGAUCUAGCCAUGCCGCGUGGACGAUGAAGGCCUUAGGGUUGUAAAGUCCUUUCAGAUGGGAAGAUAAUGACGGUACCAUCAGAAGAAGCCCCGGCUAACUCCGUGCCAGCAGCCGCGGU
rnacentral:rRNA from 1 species